rnacentral:misc_RNA from 1 species
AUUACAUCCUAACGAAAUUCAUGAACUCUCUGAUUUUAGACAAAACUCAGAAUUGUAGAGAACUUUUUAGGCUAGCUCAUGAGCUGUUUUAACAAGUCCAUACCAUUGUUGGUAGCAAGAGCCUGGUUUUCUUGGUUUGCGAUUUUGAAAUCCUUCUUGUGUCUAAGUGUGUGCUACACUAUCUCUGAAACAUGCAGCGUCUGCCCAUUGAAGAGACCAGCUUUCCUUGCUUUCCAUGGUUACCAUAGCAAGUACACA